GGGACGUCUGGGAGUGUGGCGGCGUGCUAUACAUGCAAGUCGAGCGAAUGGAUUAAGAGCUUGCUCUUAUGAAGUUAGCGGCGGACGGGUGAGUAACACGUGGGUAACCUGCCCAUAAGACUGGGAUAACUCCGGGAAACCGGGGCUAAUACCGGAUAACAUUUUGAACCGCAUGGUUCGAAAUUGAAAGGCGGCUUCGGCUGUCACUUAUGGAUGGACCCGCGUCGCAUUAGCUAGUUGGUGAGGUAACGGCUCACCAAGGCAACGAUGCGUAGCCGACCUGAGAGGGUGAUCGGCCACACUGGGACUGAGACACGGCCCAGACUCCUACGGGAGGCAGCAGUAGGGAAUCUUCCGCAAUGGACGAAAGUCUGACGGAGCAACGCCGCGUGAGUGAUGAAGGCUUUCGGGUCGUAAAACUCUGUUGUUAGGGAAGAACAAGUGCUAGUUGAAUAAGCUGGCACCUUGACGGUACCUAACCAGAAAGCCACGGCUAACUACGUGCCAGCAGCCGCGGUAAUACGUAGGUGGCAAGCGUUAUCCGGAAUUAUUGGGCGUAAAGCGCGCGCAGGUGGUUUCUUAAGUCUGAUGUGAAAGCCCACGGCUCAACCGUGGAGGGUCAUUGGAAACUGGGAGACUUGAGUGCAGAAGAGGAAAGUGGAAUUCCAUGUGUAGCGGUGAAAUGCGUAGAGAUAUGGAGGAACACCAGUGGCGAAGGCGACUUUCUGGUCUGUAACUGACACUGAGGGCGCCGAAAGC
rnacentral:rRNA from 1 species